GGAGAGGUACCCGAGUCUGGCCAAAGGGGGCAGACUGUAAAUCUGCUGGCGCAAGCCUUCGGAGGUUCGAAUCCUCCCCUCUCCACCA
rnacentral:tRNA from 1 species